AGGUCAUUUCAAAGGAGGUUUAUGGGGCUAUGAAACCAGGAGCCAACACUAUGACCAAAGAUUAAAUUUCUCCCUAGGGCACCAGAGUCCCUGAAUAGUGCUGUGUUUUUCUGAGGAAAUAUAAGA
ensembl:snoRNA